rnacentral:tRNA from 5 species
GCGUUCAUGGUGUAGGGGUUAGCACAAGAGGUUUCCAACCUCUUAGCCCGGGUUCAAAUCCCGGUGAGCGCACCA